UGGAUGCCGUGUAUCGUGCUUGCGGUGUAUUCAAUAUCCGUUCUCCGUUUUCAGCAGUAUUUAAGACGGUUAUUUCUCGUUUCUGGACAAUAUAUUCCAUUAAUUUUGUUUCUGGAUUUUAGCUAUGUUUUGAUUGGGGAACGCAGGUUUCAAAUUUUAUAAAUCACGAACAUCGACGCAAUUGUAAACAAAUAGGUGAACACACCGCCCAGUACGGAC